GGUCUGAUGGUCUAGUGGUAGGAUUCUCGCUUUGGGUUCAUUCGACAUGAGUUCAAAUUGCGAGAGGUCCCGGGUUCGAUCCCCGGUCAGACCC